rnacentral:lncRNA from 1 species
CGAAGGCGACUGCAGUCGGCCCUUCCCGGAGUCCCGCUUCGGGGCCGUCCCUGGGCGCUGCACGUUGGUCCGCCCGAGUCUUGGGGUGGCUUGGGAGAAUGGGUUUGGGGCUCAGGCCUCGAGGUUGCCAAGAGCCUCGCGCUUCCUCAUUUUCCCGCCAGGUCAACGUAACCCGGCAUUUCUCCGAGGAGAGGCCUAAAAAUGAGUGGGGCUGCCGCCCGACUCCUGUGAGAGCCUCGGGGCUUCCAUUCCCGACACCUGGAGGAAAGACCGGCAUUUCUUCCUCGGGCGAAGAACCCAGAAAAUUUUUGAUAUGGUUUCCUGGAUGAAACAGUGACAAAAUCAAGAGAGCUAACCUUGCUUACCCUGCCCAACCCACUUGUGUGAUAUGUUAGCUCCCUGGUCCCUGCUUGAUUCAGACACUACAGAAGAUGUGGGCAUUCUGGCUUCAUUGAUGUGAUGUGCUCUCUAUGAAUUAAAAUUGCAAUUAAUUAUUUUACAUGAAAAUAUGCCUUCUAUGAGAGUGAUACAGACUUCAGCAAAUUUUAACAACUUAUUUUGUAUAUUAACAUUUAUUAAAGACUUUCUU